rnacentral:ncRNA from 2 species
ACACGUUCUCGGGGCGAGGUGCAAUCCCCACCGGCGGUAAUCGUCUUGCAAAUGCCUUUGCAAACGUAGCCCGCGAGCGCUUGCUUGUUGCGUAUGUCGCAAUCGGCAAGAUCAGCAGACCCGGUUGAAUUCCGGGGCCGACGGUAUAGUCCGGAUGAAAGAGAACAGGA